AACGAACGCUGGCGGCAGGCCUAACACAUGCAAGUCGAGCGCCCUUUCGGGGGAGCGGCGGUCGGGUGAGUAACGCGUGGGAAUAUGCCCUUCUCUACGGAAUAGCCUCGGGAUACUGAGAGUAAUACCGUAUACGCCCUGCGGGGGAAAGAUUUAUCGGGGAAGGAUUAGCCCGCGUUGGAUUAGGUAGUUGGUGGGGUAAUGGCCUACCAAGCCGACGAUCCAUAGCUGGUUUGAGAGGAUGAUCAGCCACACUGGGACUGAGACACGGCCCAGACUCCUACGGGAGGCAGCAGUGGGGAAUCUUAGACAAUGGGGGCAACCCUGAUCUAGCCAUGCCGCGUGAGUGAUGAAGGCCUUAGGGUUGUAAAGCUCUUUCAGCUGGGAAGAUAAUGACGGUACCAGCAGAAGAAGCCCCGGCUAACUCCGUG
rnacentral:rRNA from 1 species